GCUCUUCGAGUGUUACCUGUGGGCGUGCGUGAGUCUUUAACGGGCCUCGCUGUUUGCAUGUUGGUGCUUUUUGGGUGUACUUUUUCGUAUGGUUGGCCAACGUCAGUUUCGUUCAUCAUAAAAUGAUCAGGGGAAUGUAGCUUCGAUCUCGUAUUGAAGUGUUAUAGACUUUGGUAGAUGUGGUGAUCGAGACUGAGGAUUGCAACGAAUACCCUUCGGGCUAUCCGUCUGACCUCUGAAAGUUGCCUAGGUGCCGAAAGCUUGCUUACGGUCGUCUAAGGUAGCGGUCAAAAGGUUAGAACGUGAUUACA
rnacentral:rRNA from 1 species